rnacentral:rRNA from 1 species
GUGUUGUGUGAAUGUACUGAAGGUGAAGUGCUUAAAUCUGAGCUUUUUGGCUUGCUAUCUACUGUUUUCUGCAAGACCAGACACUAGCCCGGGCAGACUAGGGAGCUAUCCAGUAAAACCUUUUUGGUUAGGUUUCCACCUUGGAAGAAUUCUGAAGAUUUGAUAGAAUUUCCUGCUUUUAACUUACCCAAGGAGGGAGUGAAUAUGACUGAAUGGAAAGGUGCUUGUGACCCAUUUGGGGAACCUGUGGAAGCAUGGGUUUUGAUUGAAGGUAUCCCACCAAAAUGGUGUACUUGGAAUGUGUUCUGUCAAAUUGCUUCUUUGUUUGGUGUUCUCACUGAUGUUGAUUGGAAUGGUAUGUUCAGAACCUUCUUUGAGAAUGUGAGGAUAAAAAUUGCUUAUAGAGACCCAUCUAAAAUCCCUUUUGAAAGGCUGGUUGAAAUGAAAAAGAAAUUGUUACUCCUUGGAUUUAACUGUGGAGGGAUAUGA